rnacentral:lncRNA from 1 species
AACGGCCUGAUCACCGUCGGCGUCGGCAAGUUCCCGAAGCAACCGUGCGAGUGCUGUACUCUCAUCGACGGCCUCCUUGACCUCGAGGCCGCCGUCUGCCUGUGCACUGCUCUCAAGGCCAAUGUCCUGGGCAUCCACCUCAACCUCCCCAUCAACCUCAGCUUGCUCCUCAACUACUGCGGCAAGAAGGUCCCCAAGGAGUUCCAGUGCCCUUGAGCCUCGCUGUCAUCUCUGUCGUCUGUUCCCGUAGUGCAUGC